rnacentral:rRNA from 1 species
AUGCAGUCGAGCGAACAGAUAGGAGCUUGCUCCUUUGACGUUAGCGGCGGACGGGUGAGUAACACGUGGAUAACCUACCUAUAAGACUGGGAUAACUUCGGGAAACCGGAGCUAAUACCGGAUAAGAUUUUGAACCGCAUGGUUCAAUAGUGAAAGACGGCCUUGCUGUCACUUAUAGAUGGAUCCGCGCCGUAUUAGCUAGUUGGUAGGGUAACGGCUUACCAAGGCAACGAUACGUAGCCGACCUGAAAGGGUGAUCGGCCACACUGGAACUGAGACACGGUCCAGACUCCUACGGGAGGCAGCAGUAGGGAAUCUUCCGCAAUGGGCGAAAGCCUGACGGAGCAACGCCGCGUGAGUGAUGAAGGUCUUCGGAUCGUAAAACUCUGUUAUCAGGGAAGAACAAACGUGUAAGUAACUGUGCACGUCUUGACGGUACCUGAUCAGAAAGCCACGGCUAACUACGUGCCAGCAGCCGCGGUAAUACGUAGGUGGCAAGCGUUAUCCGGAAUUAUUGGGCGUAAAGCGCGCGUAGGCGGUUUUUUAAGUCUGAUGUGAAAGCCCACGGCUCAACCGUGGAGGGUCAUUGGAAACUGGAAAACUUGAGUGCAGAAGAGGAAAGUGGAAUUCCAUGUGUAGCGGUGAAAUGCGCAGAGAUAUGGAGGAACACCAGUGGCGAAGGCGACUUUCUGGUCUGUAACUGACGCUGAUGUGCGAAAGCGUGGGGAUCAAACAGGAUUAGAUACCCUGGUAGUCCACGCCGUAAACGAUGAGUGCUAAGUGUUAGGGGGUUUCCGCCCCUUAGUGCUGCAGCUAACGCAUUAAGCACUCCGCCUGGGGAGUACGACCGCAAGGUUGAAACUCAAAGGAAUUGACGGGGACCCGCACAAGCGGUGGAGCAUGUGGUUUAAUUUGAAGCAACGCGAAGAACCUUACCAAAUCUUGACAUCCUUUGACCGCUCUAGAGAUAGAGUUUUCCCCUUCGGGGGACAAAGUGACAGGUGGUGCAUGGUUGUCGUCAGCUCGUGUCGUGAGAUGUUGGGUUAAGUCCCGCAACGAGCGCAACCCUUAAGCUUAGUUGCCAUCAUUAAGUUGGGCACUCUAA